CGGGAUGUAGCUCAACUUGGGAGAGCACCCGCUUCGGGCGCGGGUUGUUGUCGGUUCAAAUCCGGCCUUCCCGA
rnacentral:tRNA from 1 species